CCCACUACUCCUGAACAGCAGAUUAUGGGGAGAAAUGGAUGGCUUACUUUCUGAACAUUUUGACAGUGCUGGCUCCAACCAUACCACAUCACCAAACAUCCCGGAAACAAAACUUGCAGAGCAUCGAUUGGCCAGUGGAGGAUUGCUCAACAGUAAGGGGGAGUCUGUAAAUUCCGACCUUUACCAUUUUUAUAGAGACCGUCUUAGGGACAUGGACAUUUCAAAAAACGAAAAAUGUGCAACAUGCGCCAAAACACUUAACAAAAAAUGUUUUUUACAAGAUAAUGUUUUUGUCUUUUUAUACCACGAUUAACCUUCUUAUCCAUUUCCGUUUGGAACCAGACUGCUGAAUUUAUUAGGAUGGGGCCGGGUCAUGACCCACGGGUCAAUCUGAUCAUCAACAAUGGAAGGCAACUUGGACGAAGCCUUCUCCUACUUGCACACUACACCACAGUGUUUCUGACCUUUGUGAGUCGCUCUGUGAACUGGUUCGUGCAGAUGCUAAAGUGGACCACGCUGUUUGCACGGUACACCGUGUCCGUCUUUGACUCUAUCUACAGACACCUGCAUUGGUGGCGUAGAAGGGGCGGUGGAGGGGUUGCCAAGCAGAUCUGCCCCAGCCCUGACACAAAAUCAGGGUGACCAGAGUAAACCUGCCAAGUGCCUUUAAACCUGAAGAAGUCUCAAUUAUUCUAAGAGUUUUAACAAACCCUAUCACUAACCGGACAGCCUGCUCAAGACAUCACAUCAGAAGAUCUCACUGAUCUUUUGGGUAAAUGAAGUGCAACAGUGGUGAGAAAGUUGGGAGAGAGUUGAAGUAGAAUGGAAAGAGCACCUUACUGAAGUCAUUCAGCUUGAGCAUUUCAUUUUUAAAUUUAAUUUAUUACUAACAGUCUAGUGUUUUACAGUAUAUGCAUGUAUCUGUUGCAUGUGUAUUCCUUGUACUGUAAUGCCAAUAUGAAAGUUACAUGUUUGAAUAUUCAUAUCAUAAACUGCUAUAAUAAUGUUCAAGGAAAGCUUCUCCAAAACCACUAACAGGAGGGGACGAAUCGGGCAUUAAACACACUAUUGUAACACUUUUCUAAAGGGGAUAACGUCAAUUCAACUACACUACCCACCUAUGAACUGUCAUUUGUAUCAUGUAUAGGAUGUACAGUAUAGGGGUAUAACUAAGCAGCUAUUUUGUCCCACAGCCAGCUUUUCAUGUGACUGUACAUAACUGAGAAGUGUGUUUCCUGGGCCACCAGACAGGGAAUGGGUCUUUCACAUUCUAAUCUCGGCACCCAGAACCAAAUCUACUCGAUUACAUUCAUGUUCAGUCUGUCACAAGACUAUUCCCAUUCCUGCAUUAUACUGUGUCAAUCAGAAAUUCAAACCACUAUUGAGUUGAACGAAUACAGAAUUGUCUUUAUCUAUGCUUAUGUGUAUUGUUUUAUUAUUGUAUUUACUUAUUUUAUUUGUACAAACUGUGAAAUUACUAUAUGAAUGGCAGCAUUGUGGUCAAAAUCAUGCCAACAAUAAUCCCUAAAGUUGCAAAUAUGUUGACUGUUGUCUGGAUGUGUGAAGUUGGCUGGAUGUGUGAAGUUGGCUGGAUGUGCGAAGUUGGCUGGAUGUGCGAAGUUGGCUGGAUGUGUGAAGUUGGCUGGAUGUCCUUUGGGUGGACCAUUUUUGUUACACACAUGAAACUGUUGUUAGAGUGGAAAAACCCAGCAGCAUUGCAGUUCUUGACACAAACCGGUGUGCCUGGCACCUACUACCAUACUCCAUUCAAAGGCACUUAAAUAUUUUGUCUUGCCCAUUCACCCUCUGAAUGGCACACACACACUCGAUGUCUCAAGGUUUAAAAAUCCUUCUUGAACCGGUCUCCUCCCCUUCACCUACAGAUUGAAGGGGAUUUAACAAGUGACAUCAAUUAGGGAUCAUAGACUGUCCAGGUGAAAGCUAUGUCAUGGAAAGAGGUGUCCUUAAUGUUUGGUAUCCUCAGUGUAUAUCACAGGUGUCAAACUCAUUCCACGGAGGGCUGAAUGUCUGCGGGUUUUCGCUCCUCCCUUGUACUCGAUAGAGGAAUUAAAUCAAAUCAAAUUUUGUCACACGCACCAAAUACAACAGGUGUAAAUCUUACAGUGAAAUGCUUACUUACAAGCUCUAAACCAACAAUGCAGUUAAAAAAAUACAAAUAAAUCAAUCAAUAAAGUAACAAAUAAUUAAAGGGCAGCAGUAAAAUAACAAUAGCGAGGCUAUAUACAGGGGGUACCGGUACAGAGUCAAUGGACAGGGGCACUGGUGAGUCGAGGUAAUUGAGGUAAUAUACAUGUGGGUAGAGUUAUUAAAGUCACUUAUGCAUACAUAAUAAGAGUAGCAGCAGUGUAAAACAGGGGGGAGGGGGCAAUGCAAGUAGUCUGGGUAGCCAUUUGAUUACAUAUUCAGUAGUCUUGUGGCUUGGUGGUUGAAGCUGUUUAGAAGCCUCUUGGACCUAGACUUGGCGCUCCGGUACCGCUAGCCGUGCUGUAGCAGAGAGAACAGUCUAUGACUAGGGUGGCUGGAGUCUUUGACAUUUUUUAGGGCCUUCCUCUGACACCGCCUGGUAUAAAGGUCCUGGAUGGCAGGAAUGUUGGCCUCAGUGAUGUACUGGGCCGUACGCAUUACCCUCUGUAGAGCCUUGCGGUCGGAGGCCGAGUAGUUGCCAUAACAGACAUUGAUGCAACCAGUCAGGAUGCUCUCGAUGGUGCAGCUGUAGAACCUUUUGAGGACCCAUGCAAUAUCUUUUCAGUCUCCUGAAGGGAAUAGGUUUUUGUCAUGCCCUCUUUAUGACUAUCUUGGUGUGCUUAGACCCUGUUUGUUUGUUGAUGAUAUGGACACCAAGGAACUUGAAGCUCUCAACUUGCUCCACUAAGGUCACCCACUAGUAAGGAACUCCCCUCACCUGGUUGUUUAGGGCUCUAUUGAAAGGAAAAAAACAAACCUGCAGACAUGCAGCCCCACAUGGGAAUGAGUUUGACACCCCUGGUCUAGAUAAAGCCUUUAAAAUGGAAUACACAUUAGGGGAAACGGCACCACUGUCUCUCAAAUUUGGCCGUACGUGUCCUCCUCUUCUUGAUAUAUAUGCCACACCUGUCUGGUGGAUGGGUUACCUUGGCAAGGGAGAAAUGUUCACAAACAGGAAUGUAAGCAAAUUUCUGCAUUUCAUUUUGGAAAAAUUCUGGGAUCUUAUUUCAGCUCAUGAAACAUGGGCUCAACACUUUACAUGUUGCGUUUAUAUUUUUGUUCAGUGUAGUAAUAUCCCAAACGGAUAUGAAAGUUUCACCAUUAAAGGAUUCCAGCUUUAAGAACCAGUAAAGCAAACUGUUUUGGGGAUUUCUGUGAAAGCUACAGCAUGUACCCUGUACAGUAGUCUAAGUAAGAAACCUCUAACCGACUGUAGGAUGUGCCACAAUGUUCUAUCUGGGCCUAAGCUCCACAGUUGAAGUACUUUAUUGUGCAUUAUGCUAAAUCCACUGCUUGUCUAGCAUCAAUGUUCCUGUUGGGCUGCAUGAAGAAUCAAAGUCUGGCACUGUAAUACAGAAAGCAUUGUCUUGUAGUCAUGAUGAAGUUAUUCGUGAGUAAUGACCUGGGCCUACUUGGUCUAUGAAUGUGAAGGAAUCUCAAUAAACCAAACUAAACAC